AGAGUUUGAUCAUGGCUCAGGGUGAACGCUGGCGGCGUGCUUGACACAUGCAAGUCGAACGGUAUGUGGCAACACAUAGAGUGGCGAACGGGUGAGUAACACGUGGGAACGUACCCUACGCAGGGGGAUAACUGACCGAAAGGACAGCUAAUACCGCAUAAGACCGAAAGGUGAAAGGUGCAACUGCACCGGCGAAGGAGCGGCCCGCGGACCAUCAGCUAGUUGGUGGGGUAAGAGCCUACCAAGGCAACGACGGAUAGCCGGCGUGAGAGCGUGGCCGGCCACAAGGACACUGAGAUACGGGUCCUACUCCUACGGGAGGCAGCAGUGCGGAAUUUUAGAUAAUGGAGGCAACUCUGAUCUAGCGACGCCGCGUGCAGGAAGAAGGUCUUCGGAUUGUAAACCGCUGUGGUAAGGGAAAAAUGCCAUGUAGAGUGGAAAGCUACAUGGAGGGAUGGUACUUUACUAGAAAGCCCCGGCUAACUACGUGCCAGCAGCCGCGGUAAUACGUAGGGGGCGAGCGUUACCCGGAAUCACUGGGCGUAAAGGGAGCGUAGGUGGCCUGACAUGACAACUGUGAAAACCCGGAGCUCAACUCCGGACUUGCAGUUGAAACUGCCAGGCUUGAGGACGGUAGAGGAAGACGGAACUGCCAGUGUAGGGGUAAAAUCCUUAGAUAUUGGCAGGAACGCCGGUGACGAAGGUGGUUUUCUGGGCCGGUUCUGACACUGAUGCUCGAAAGCCAGGGGAGCGAACGGGAUUAGAUACCCCGGUAGUCCUGGCCCUAAACGAUGUUCACUAGGUGUGGGGAGCGGAAAGCUUUCCGUGCUAAAGCUAACGCAAUAAGUGAACCGCCUGGGGAGUACGCCCGCAAGGGUGAAACUCAAAUGAAUUGACGG
rnacentral:rRNA from 1 species